UGAGAAAAAGCCACACCCGCAGCGAUGCGGGGCGGGAAAGCCACGGGUCUUACGAGACAGCCGGGUUGCCUGAA
rnacentral:ncRNA from 1 species